GAUGAACGCUAGCUACAGGCUUAACACAUGCAAGUCGCAGGGUAACAUGAGGAAAGCUUGCUUUCCUUGAUGACGACUGGCGCACGGGUGAGUAACGCGUAUCCAACCUUCCCAUAACUACGGGAUAACCCGUUGAAAGACGGCCUAAUACCGUAUGAUAUCGUUUGCUGACAUCAAAUAACGAUUAAAGGUUUAGCGGUUAUGGAUGGGGAUGCGUCUGAUUAGCUUGUUGGCGGGGUAACGGCCCACCAAGGCGACGAUCAGUAGGGGUUCUGAGAGGAAGGUCCCCCACAUUGGAACUGAGACACGGUCCAAACUCCUACGGAGGCAGCAGUGAGGAAUAUUGGUCAAUGGGCGAGAGCCUGAACCAGCCAAGUAGCGUGCAGGACGACGGCCCUAUGGGUUGUAAACUGCUUUUAUGUGGGGAUAAAGUGCGUGACGUGUCAUGCAUUGCAGGUACCACAUGAAUAAGGACCGGCUAAUUCCGUG
rnacentral:rRNA from 1 species